UACGUAGGGGGCAAGCGUUGUCCGGAAUGAUUGGGCGUAAAGGGCGCGUAGGCGGCCUGGUAAGUCUGGAGUGAAAGUCCUGCUUUUAAGGUAGGAAUUGCUUUGGAUACUGCUGGGCUUGAGUGCAGGAGAGGUAAGUGGAAUUCCCGGUGUAGCGGUGAAAUGCGUAGAGAUCGGGAGGAACACCAGUGGCGAAGGCGACUUACUGGACUGUAACUGACGCUGAGGCGCGAAAGUGUGGGGAGCAAACAGG
rnacentral:rRNA from 1 species